UGGGGAAUAUUGGACAAUGGGCGCAAGCCUGAUCCAGCCAUGCCGCGUGUGUGAUGAAGGCCUUAGGGUUGUAAAGCACUUUCACCGGAGAAGAUAAUGACGGUAUCCGGAGAAGAAGCCCCGGCUAACUUCGUGCCAGCAGCCGCGGUAAUACGAAGGGGGCUAGCGUUGUUCGGAAUUACUGGGCGUAAAGCGCACGUAGGCGGAUCGAUCAGUCAGGGGUGAAAUCCCAGAGCUCAACUCUGGAACUGCCUUUGAUACUGUCGGUCUAGAGUAUGGAAGAGGUGAGUGGAAUUCCGAGUGUAGAGGUGAAAUUCGUAGAUAUUCGGAGGAACACCAGUGGCGAAGGCGGCUCACUGGUCCAUUACUGACGCUGAGGUGCGAAAGCGUGGGGAGCAAACAGG
rnacentral:rRNA from 1 species